CAGCCGCUAAUGAGCAGAAAGUUGUCGAAAACAUUUUGAAAAACAGCCCGAGUCCUUGGCUCAGCGAGAUGGCUCAAUGAGGAAAAGUAUUUGUCCCGAGAGCCCUGAUGCCCUGCAUCUGAGCCCUGAACCACAGGGAAAGGAGAAAACUGACUCCCAAAUUCUGCCCUCUGACCUCUGCCUGUGUGCCACGGCGCUCAGACACGCGAUACUACCUGUGGCUCUCAAAGAGAUCGGCACUGCCCUGCUGCCGGUUUAGGCUGUCAUCACAAACAAGGGCCACUGUCAGCACCGAGUUGGGCAUCGGAGUCACGCAUUCCAGCUUCACAGUUUGCCUGGGACUCCUGAAGAUAUUCCAAGACUGAAUAUCAUACUUCAACCUGCGUCGGAGGAUAGGGACAUUUUAAUACCUCACUUCUUAACGUCACCUAGUUUAUUUAUGAGGCUAUUUGCUUCCAUUUUUACACUUUGAUGGUCUUUAGCUCAUCUUGGGAUAUUAUUUUUACUUCAAUUAAGAUUGUAUCCCUUGGCCGGGCAGUGGUGGCACAUGCCU
rnacentral:lncRNA from 1 species